rnacentral:lncRNA from 1 species
UUGCAUAAAUGCAGGGGAAUGCUACGUAUAAUAGACCCUUGUGGUCUGGGCCUUCCCCGGACCCCACACAUAACUUGGAGCUUAGCACUGGGCUGCCCUUUUUUUUUGGAUGAUUUUAUCCACAUACGAACACAAUGCAAAAACACCAUGAAAAUUUCCUUGCUAGCUUUGUUUUAUUACAUCAGCCUAUAAUUUGCUAUGGUAAAGGAUAGGUUAAAAGGAUGGUCAGUCAGGACAGUGCAACUUCCUGCUUCACAUUGUGCACAAUAAAGAUGCACCCUUUUCUUAUUAUAGUUAUGAAUCACCUAACUCGGUUCAUUAACAGGAGGAAGGAGAUGAGGCAUACAUAGAGGUUUAUGACAGUGAUAACGAUGUUGUCAAUUGUAGUGAUGAUUCAGAUGAUAAUCCACAUCGAGAAACAGCGUUCCAACACCUUCAUCAAAAUGAAUCGUUGUCAAUUGUAGUGAUGAUUCAGAUGAUACUCCACAUCGAGAAACAGCGUUCCAACACCUUCAUCAAAAUGAAUCGCAAAGGGAGCUUGUUUGAGUAAUACUGUUCUUGACCCUCCGAAGGCAUGUUACAGUGGUUAGUACAAAUGAGAGAGAAGAAGCUCGAUACAGAACCGAUAUUCCACAUUCAGAACCGAACUUAUGCAAGCAGCACGACAUAAUUAAUCAAAUAACUGAUUGUUGAUACUUUACAUGAUGCUGCAAUUUUAAGGGUUUUAGCACCAAAAGAAAGUAGAGGCCCGCGGUUUGUUUGUGGGUAGGUUUGGGGGGGGGGGUGCAGACCAAUUUUAUCAAAUAACUGAUUGUUGAUACUUUACAUGAUGCUGCAAUUUUAAGGGUUUUAGCACCAAAAGAAAGUAGAGGCCCA